CUCCCUGACAUAAGUGAAAUUCCAAGGUAAGGAUUGCAGUAAAUCCUGUACUACUUCGGAACCGCUGAGAGUUAGCAAAUUCCUAUCAAGAAUAGCCAUGUCUCCUUCUUUAUUUCUAGUUCCCAAUUCCAAUACCCUCUGUUAUCACCAUUCCAUUUUUAUUAUCAACCACAAAACUAUUCUUUUUUCCAAAUCAUUCAAUUCUAAAGUUACCACCUUUUGCUCCAAACCCAAUGAUAACAUUCAUCCCAGCAAAAACCUGGAAGAAUGCAAUCUUGAAUUUGAAAAUCAAGAUUAUGAGUCACUAUCAAACCCCAUUUCACAUUCAACUUCAGGAAUUAAAGGCCCUACUGCUCCAUGGAUGAAGGGUCCUCUUCUUCUUGAACCCAAUCAAGUUUUGGACUUAUCCAAAUCAAGAAGGAAGAAAGAUACCAACUUUGCUGUAACACAAAAUCCUAUUGAUGCACUUUCUGGUAAAGUUAGUGGAGGAAGAGGUAAAAAAGCAAUGAAGAAGAUUUACCAAGGAAUUGAUAAACUCCAAGAAACACAAAAUUUGGAAUUUACACAUGAGGAAACUGAUGCUAAGUUUGAGUUCCAGUUCCCACCAGGAUCUUUAGCUCAAUGGGAAGAUGUGAGCUUUGAAUUUGAUGAACAAACCCCAUAUGGGAAGCACGACAAUGUGGAAAGCAUUGAGAGAGUUGAAUUUGAUAUUUUAUCAAGAGAGUGUGAAGGAAAAGGGAUUAGAAAAAAUGGGGGGAAAAUGCCAUGGGAGAGUGAGGAGAGAAUUUUGUAUAGGAGAAUGAAGAAGGACAAAGUUAUCACGGCGGCUGAGUCGAAUAUUGAUGCAAUGUUGCUUGAGAGAUUGAGGGGUGAGGCUGCAAGGAUUCAGAAAUGGGUGAAAGUUAAGAAAACAGGAGUUACCCGAGCUGUCGUUGACCAAAUCCACUUGGUUUGGAAGUAUAACAAGCUUGCAAUGCUCAAAUUUGACCUGCCUUUAUGCCGUAAUAUGGACAGGGCUCGAGAAAUUAUUGAGAUGAAGACUGGAGGCUUUGUUGUUUGGAGGAAGAAAAAUGCUCUGGUUGUUUAUAGAGGACGUGAUUAUACUUUACGACAGAAUGAUGACCCAGAACUACAUCAUGAUUUUCUACUUAGUCAACAAAACUCUUCAUUUACUGAAAAUAAUAAAGAGACAAGUAUUUUCUCGCCAUUGAACUCAAGUGGGAGCAGUGAAGACGAAAUGAUAGGUGGUGAAAACUCAGAAGAGGAUAGCCUAGCAAUAAAUGAGUCACUUUAUGAGAGGGAAGCUAAUAGAUUAUUGGAUGACUUAGGACCUCGUUAUGUUGAUUGGUGGUGGCCAAAGCCUUUGCCAGUGGAUGCAGAUUUGCUUCCUGAAGUAGUUCCUGGAUUUAAGCCACCGUUUAGACUUUGCCCACCACGUUCAAGAUCAAAGCUGACAGAUGAUGAACUUACACACUUGAGGAAACUUGCACGCUCUUUGCCAACUCAUUUUGUCCUCGGGAGAAACAGAAAACUGCAAGGCUUGUCUGCAGCAGUUGUAAAAUUGUGGGAGAAAUGUCAUAUAGCAAAGAUAGCUUUGAAGUGGGGAAUUCCAAAUACUAGCAACGAGCUAAUGGCAAAUGAACUGAAGUAUCUUACAGGAGGAGUCCUUUUAUUGCGGAAUAAGUUCUUUAUAAUCCUAUAUAGAGGCAAGGAUUUUCUUCCUCCUCAAGUUGCAAGCCUUGUAGCCGAGAGAGAGGUGGAGCUCACAAGAUGUCAGCUUGAGGAAGAAGUUGCCCGAUUCAAAGCAAUUGAAACCCUUCCAAUCACUGCUGAAAUAUCAAUGAGUAGUAGUAAUGUUGGGACUUUAUCAGAAUUCCAAACAAUUGCAGAACCUGGAAAGGAGAAAUCUGAGACUGAAGUUCAAUCGGUGGCUGAAAGGGAAAGAUUAGAAAAAGAACUGAGGAAUCAACAGCACAGACUUUACAUUCUCAAGCAGAAGAUUCAAAGAUCAUCUAUAGCAUUGGGAAAGUUAAAUGCUGCAUGGAGACCUGCCAAACAGGAUGAAGAUAACGAGAUCUUAACACAGGAAGAGAAACGUUCUCUUAGGCAGAUAGGAUUGAAGAUGGACAGGAGUUUAGUGCUUGGGAGACGCGGUGUUUUUGACGGUGUAUUAGCUGGUCUCCAUCAGCAUUGGAAGCACAGAGAAGUUGUUAAGGUGAUGACAUUGCAGAAAAUCUUUUCUCAGGUCAUUCAUACUGCAAAGCUCCUGGAGGCAGAAAGUGGUGGAAUACUGGUUUCUGUAGACAAACUUAAAGAAGGUCAUACUAUAAUAAUUUAUCGGGGAAAGAACUACAGACGCCCGGAAUUGGUUCCUCAAAAUCUUCUAAACAAAAGCCAAGCUUUAUGUCGGUCCCUUGAAAUGCAGAGACUUGGAUCAUUGAAGUUUUAUGCAAAUCAAACGGAGCAGGAAAUCGCUGAUCUUAAGCGCAAGCUGUAAUUUCUAUCUCUCUGUUAAAGUUCCUCUUUGUCUACAAACUAACAGAUUGCCUUUGCCUUUCAUUUUUCAAAUUUGUCUUGACUAUUAGCUUUGGCUUUCAAAUAGUAUUCCAAGUGAAUCUUAUCCAGUUUUAUUAGCUGAAAUUUGAUGGAUAAUUGUCUUUUUCAGGUAGAAUAUACAGUAAAAAUUGGUCAAAUGGGGGAGAUCUAAAAGCCUGUGGCACAGUCAUAACUACUAUUGCUCUUGAUCUCUGUCUUGACAUGGUCUAUAUACAUCAGCGGGAAGAGAGUUCACCCAUUGGCUAGCUGAGUAUUAUGGGGAAAUAAGGACUAUUGCUUUGAAAGCCCUUGAUUAAUGACCUUAGAACUUGUUAAUUUUGAGGUGGAUAAUCUGUGCAUCUUGGGAUUUCACUGUUGAGAAAAGUAUACAACUUGGAGAAGCAUUCAACUUUGUGAUUCUUCUUGAUGAGACAUAAUAGAGUUUCCGGAUGAUGGUGGACUCGCAGAUGAGCAAUGGAUUGAUAAAGUAACACUGCUAACAUUACAGCAUGGACAAAUCUCUAAGACUGCUACUUGUUGCAUGAUCUGGUAAGGUUUAAGAUUAUUUUGAUUUAGUUCCAGAACUCAGACCUCAAGUCCCAUGACCUGUAUUACAGGAAAAUACCUGUUGAAGCAUUAGGUAGGUCCACAUCUACACUUGAAAUCAAUAAAACAGACAUUUGGAGGAGGGGGAGGUGAACAUACUACAGGGAUUUGUUCCAUACAGCACGGAGUCGGUAACAGUAAUUGCACUGCUGAUUUCGAAGGGCACUGUUCCUCUUCUCUUGCAGCAACUUCGUGAAAUUGUGCCAAUUCCAGGUUUGAACUACUGCAGACAUGUUUUAUAUUUUCUACUGAAUGGCGACAUAGGUGUUAGUGCAACUGGCAAAAACAAGUGUGAUCGGGUUGUGGCUGCUCAUUUACAGCUGGAGAUACAACAUAUAAUUUGGAUGCCAGCCUUGGGCAUCAUUUACUCUGGCACAUGCAUUGUAUGACACAAACUAGAAUAACUAAAUAAGUUAGCAUGUUUGGUGAGGCGACCAUAAACGUGAAAUUUAUGUCCUCUCUCUGUUUGGUGCCAGUUGGCAAUAAUUUUAUCAACACAUU